UACGUAGGGUGCGAGCGUUGUCCGGAAUUAUUGGGCGUAAAGGGCUCGUAGGCGGUUUGUCACGUCGGGAGUGAAAACUCAGGGCUUAACCCUGAGCCUGCUUCCGAUACGGGCAGACUAGAGGUAUGCAGGGGAGAAUGGAAUUCCUGGUGUAGCGGUGAAAUGCGCAGAUAUCAGGAGGAACACCAGUGGCGAAGGCGGUUCUCUGGGCAUUACCUGACGCUGAGGAGCGAAAGUGUGGGGAGCAAACAGG
rnacentral:rRNA from 1 species